UCCGAGUUGACCCCGGCAGUCUCCCUAGAGUUCCCGGCAUUACCCGCUGGCAACUAGGAAAAGGGGUUGCGCUCGUUGCGCCACUUAAGGCAACACCUCACGGCACGAGCUGACGACAGCCAUGCAGCACCUGUGCGGGCUCCCGUAGGAGGACCGUGUUUCCACGGCUUCACCCCGCAUGUCAAGCCCUGGUAAGGUUCUUCGCGUUGCGUCGAAUUAAGCAACAUGCUCCACCGCUUGUGUGAGCCCCCGUCAAUUCCUUUGAGUUUUAGCCUUGCGACCGUACUCCCCAGGCGGCGCGCUUAUCGCUUUUGCUUCGACCGAACCGGCGUCAGAGCCGCUCCGAUCUAGCGCGCAUUGUUUACGGCGUGGACUAC
rnacentral:misc_RNA from 1 species